AAAUAAUGUUUGACCUUGUUUUGUGUGUUAGCGAGAGGAUCUGAGACCACAAGGACAAAGCCUCUGCAAUCUAAGUAAGCUAAGGAGCUUAAAGUGACAAUCCAGUUCCAUUCUGCUGUGCUUUUUGGAGAUUUAAGUGCUGCAGAUCAAUGGUUUAAGGAGGCAAAAGAGAAACAUUCAACAUUGAAUGCGAUCAUAUAUGGAAAUAUAAUAUAUGCCCAUUGGUACCAUGGUUCCUGGAAUCAAGAUGGGGCGGCGGAAGAGAGCAACAAG